UACGUAGGGGGCAAGCGUUGUCCGGAAUCAUUGGGCGUAAAGCGCACGUAGGCGGCCCGGUCAGUCUGCUGUGAAAGUCGAAGGCUCAACCUUCGAAGGCCAGUGGAUACUGCCGGGCUAGAGUCCGGAAGAGGCGAGUGGAAUUCCUGGUGUAGCGGUGGAAUGCGCAGAUAUCAGGAGGAACACCAACGGCGAAGGCAGCUCGCUGGGACGGUACUGACGCUGAGGUGCGAAAGCGUGGGGAGCGAACAGG
rnacentral:misc_RNA from 1 species